rnacentral:misc_RNA from 1 species
AAGCCUCAGAAUAUACUAAUUGAUGAUAAAUGCAAUGCUCGGAUAUCAGAUUUUGGAUUGUCAAAACUUUUGAUGAUGGAUCAGAGCCACACUCGCACUACCAUUAGGGGCACAAGAGGGUACAUUGCGCCAGAAUGGUUUAUGAGGACACCUAUCACUGUGAAAGUUGAUGUGUACAGCUUUGGUGUCACGUUGCUGGAAAUUGUUUAUUGUCGAAGAAGUGUUUAUACAGAAACUGAUGGUGAGGAGAUGAUUCUGAUUGAUUGGGC